GACGAACGCUGGCGGCGUGCUUAACACAUGCAAGUCGAACGGAAAGGCCCUGCUUUUGUGGGUUGCUCGAUUGGCGAACGGGUGAGUAACACGUGAGUAACCUCCCCUUGACUUUGGGAUAACUUCAGGAAACUGGGGCUAUUACCGGAUAGGAUCUCCUGCUCCAUGUUGGGGGUUGGAAAGUUUCGGCGGUUGGGGAUGGACUCGCGGCUUAUCAGCUUGUUGGUGGGGUAGUGGCUUACCAGGGCUUUGACGGGUAGCCGGCCUGAGAGGGUGACCGGCCACAUUGGGACUGAGAUACGGCCCAGACUCCUACGGGAGGCAGCAGUGGGGAAUAUUGCACAAUGGGCGGAAGCCUGAUGCAGCAACGCUGCGUGCGGGAUGACGGCCUUCGGGUUGUAAACCGCUUUCGCCUGUGACGAAGCGUGAGUGACGGUAAUGGGUAAAGAAGCACCGGCUAACUACGUG
rnacentral:rRNA from 1 species